GGGGGACGACGACGGCCUGCCGGGGGGUCGGCGCGGUGGCUUCCCACCGGCGGGCCUCCGUCCCGCCGCGUCGCCCGUAGGCCCCGCGCGAGGCUUCGGCCUGGCGGGCCCGGCCGCUCCCGCGGCGUUUCCUCCGGGCCGGGCUGGCGCGGCCUUUCCUCCUGUUGGGCCUCUUCUGCGGGGCGGAGGAGGCGCUCGUGACCGACUAAGCAGGGCUGCUUUAUGGACAGAACCCUUCUGGGCACAACCUUGCAAAGUACACGAUUUCCACCUGAAAAUUGGGCUUAUAUGUGGAUGACAUCGUGUUCAAUAAGAGAAGCACGAAAAGUUUAUUUGGCUGAUCUCCUGCAGGCAUCUGCCACAUACGACUUCGAGCUGGUCGCCUUGCGGGGGGUCAUUUAGAGAGUAUCUAGUAGCAUCUCAGGAUGUCUGUCCUAGGGAAUGCGAUGCUAAAGACAACAUCAGUAGUUCAAUGGGCUGUGAUGCUCUGCAGACCCUUCCUGUGAGCUGAUUCAACACACUAAAGCAAUGGAAAAGUAAACAAGCAAAAAUGAUUCUGCCCUUUUUGUGUCGAGAGAGCACCACAGCCCAGAGGAGGCAGGGAUUGGGUCGCGUGGCUGGGAGCGAUGCAGGGGAAGAGGGAUGGGGUUGAUCUAAGCAAGAGUUUUCCUCUUGGUAGCAGCAAGUUGUUAUACGGUAUCUCCUUCUCAAACCCUGCCUCCAGCCUGAGAUGUGUGAUCUGCUGAGAGUUCAGCUGGUCCCUCUAGGAAGGCAUCUGAGAAAAAAAGCAGAAGAGCCAAUGCCAGCCGGCUCCAAGGCGGACCCGCUGCUGG